rnacentral:rRNA from 1 species
GUCCACGCUGUAAACGAUGGGUACUAGGUGUUCGGGGUAUUGACCCCCUGAGUGCCGCAGUUAACGCAUUAAGUACCCCGCCUGGGGACUACGGCCGCAAGGUUAAAACUCAAAGGAAUUGACGGGGGCCCGCACAAGCGGUGGAGCAUGCUGUUCAAUUCGACGCAACGCGAAGAACCUUACCUGGGCUAGACAACGGCGGACAGCCCGAGAAAUCGGGUCUUCCCUUCGGGGACUGCCGGUUCAGGUGUUGCAUGGCUGUCGU